CGAGACCACGAACCCACCGUAAGGAAGAAACUCCGAACACAUCCGAACAUCAGAAGGAACAAACUCCAGACGCGCCACCUUAAGAGCUGUAACACUCACCGCCAGGGUCCGCGGCUUCAUUCUUGAAGUCAGAGAGACCAAGAACCCACCAAUUCCGGACACCCUAUCAGAGAUUUUGAAAACUAUGAAGUGCUGGGAACAGAGAGACUGGACAGCCUUCACAAAGGUGGGGAAACCUUGAAAUUGUGGCUUUUAUGACUUCCUGAUGAUCAGUACCAAAUCAACAAGGCACAAAUUUGUGAAUCUAUGUCUGAAAGAGAGGUUCAGCAACAGCUGUCUUAUGGGC
rnacentral:lncRNA from 10 species